rnacentral:tRNA from 1 species
UGUUAUUUAGUUUAUAUUAGAAUAGUUAAUUUGCAUUUAAUAGGAGUAUUUCAAUAACAA